UACUGCUCAGUAACACGUGGAAACAUACCUGAGGCCGGCUAUAAACCCGGGAAACUGGGUAUACUCCCCGAUAGUCCUCGGCUGCUGGAAUGCACCGAGGACGAAAGCUCCGGCGCCUUAGGAUGGGUCUGCGGCCUAUCAGGUUGUAGUGGGUGUAACGUACCUACUAGCCUACGACGGGUACGGGUUGUGAGAGCAAGAGCCCGGAGAUGGAUUCUGAGACACGAAUCCAGGCCCUACGGGGUGCAGCAGGCGCGAAAACUUUACAAUGCUGGAAACAGCGAUAAGGGGACCUCGAGUGCCAGGUUACAAAUCUGGCUGUCGUGAUGCCUAAAAAGCAUUACAUAGCAAGGGCCGGGCAAGACCGGUGCCAGCCGCCGCGGUAACACCGGCGGGUCGAGUGGCAACCGUUAUUAUUGGGUCUAAGGGUUCUGUACCCGCCCUACUACGUCUCCUGCCACCCCCACUUCC
rnacentral:rRNA from 1 species